rnacentral:rRNA from 1 species
AGCAGCAGCCACGGUAAUACGUAGGGCGCAAGCGUUAUCCGGAAUUAUUGGGCGUAAAGAGCUCGUAGGCGGUUUGUCGCGUCUGCCGUGAAAGUCCGGGGCUCAACCCCGGAUCUGCGGUGGGUACGGGCAGACUAGAGUGAUGUAGGGGAGACUGGAAUUCCUGGUGUAGCGGUGAAAUGCGCAGAUAUCAGGAGGAACACCGAUGGCGAAGGCAGGUCUCUGGGCAUUAACUGACGCUGAGGAGCGAAAGCAUGGGGAGCGAACAGGAUUAGAGACCCGCGUAGUCCCUGUCUCUUAUAC